CUACGGGAGGCACCAGUGAGGAAUAUUGCACAAUGGGGGAAACCCUGAUGCAGCAACGCCGCGUGGAGGAUGACGCAUUUCGGUGUGUAAACUCCUUUUAUGAGUCAAGAAAAUGACGGUAGCAUAUGAAUAAGCACCGGCUAACUCCGUGCCAGCAGCCGCGGUAAUACGGAGGGUGCAAGCGUUACUCGGAAUCACUGGGCGUAAAGGACGCGUAGGCGGGUUGGAAAGUCAGGUGUGAAAUCCUACAGCUUAACUGUAGAACUGCACUUGAAACUUCUAAUCUAGAGUAUGGGAGGGGGAGAUGGAAUUAGUGGUGUAGGGGUAAAAUCCGUAGAUAUCACUAGGAAUACCUAAAGCGAAGGCGAUCUCCUGGAACAUUACUGACGCUAGGGCGUGAAAGCGUGGGGAGCAAACAGGAUUAGAUACCCGCGUAGUC
rnacentral:rRNA from 1 species